AUUGAACGCUGGCGGCAGGCCUAACACAUGCAAGUCGAGCGGUAGAGGAGCUUGCUUCUCUUGAGAGCGGCGGACGGGUGAGUAAUGCCUAGGAAUCUGCCUAGUGGUGGGUGAUAACGUUCGGAAACGGACGCUAAUACCGCAUACGUCCUACGGGAGAAAGCGGGGGACCGUCCGGCCUCGCGCCAUUUGAUGAGCCUAGGUCGGAUUAGCUAGUUGGUGGGGUAAUGGCUCACCAAGGCGACGAUCCGUAACUGGUCUGAGAGGAUGAUCAGUCACACUGGAACUGAGACACGGUCCAGACUCCUACGGGAGGCAGCAGUGGGGAAUAUUGGACAAUGGGCGAAAGCCUGAUCCAGCCAUGCCGCGUGUGUGAAGAAGGUCUUCGGAUUGUAAAGCACUUUAAGUUGGGAGGAAGGGUAGUAACUUAAUACGUUGCUAUUUUGACGUUACCGACAGAAUAAGCACCGGCUAACUUCGUGCCAGCAGCCGCCGUAACAC
rnacentral:rRNA from 1 species